GAUCCUGGCUCAGAUUAAACGCUGGCGGCAUGCCUUACACAUGCAAGUCGAACGGCAGCACGGGGGCAACCUGGUGGCGAGUGGCGAACGGGUGAGUAAUGCAUCGGAACGUGCCAUUGAGUGGGGGAUAACGUAGCGAAAGUUGCGCUAAUACCGCAUAUUCUGUGAGCAGGAAAGCAGGGGACCGCAAGGCCUUGCGCUCUUUGAGCGGCCGAUGUCAGAUUAGCUAGUUGGUGAGGUAACGGCUUACCAAGGCGACGAUCUGUAGCGGGUCUGAGAGGAUGAUCCGCCACACUGGAACUGAGACACGGUCCAGACUCCUACGGGAGGCAGCAGUGGGGAAUUUUGGACAAUGGGCGCAAGCCUGAUCCAGCCAUGCCGCGUGAGUGAAGAAGGCCUUCGGGUUGUAAAGCUCUUUCGGCCGGGAAGAAAUCGCAUGGGUUAAUACCCUGUGUGGAUGACGGUACCGGAAUAAGAAGCACCGGCUAACUACGUG
rnacentral:rRNA from 1 species